rnacentral:tRNA from 1 species
GUAAUUUAUCCAAAAUAUAGGUCUUGUAUACCUAAAAUAGAAUUACUUCUCU